UUGGAAACGGCUGCUAAAACCGCAUAAGCGCACAGUAUCGCAUGAUACAGUGUGAAAAACUCCGGUGGUAUGAGAUGGACCCGCGUCUGAUUAGCUAGUUGGUGAGGUAACGGCCCACCAAGGCAACGAUCAGUAGCCGGCCUGAGAGGGUGAACGGCCACAUUGGGACUGAGACACGGCCCAAACUCCUACGGGAGGCAGCAGUGGGGAAUAUUGCACAAUGGGGGAAACCCUGAUGCAGCGACGCCGCGUGAGUGAUGAAGUAUUUCGGUAUGUAAAGCUCUAUCAGCAGGGAAGAUAAUGACGGUACCUGACUAA
rnacentral:rRNA from 1 species